AUUAAGCCUACCAAGGCAUCGAUCAGUAGCUGGUCUGAGAGGACGACCAGCCACACUGGAACUGAGACACGGUCCAGACUCCUACGGGAGGCAGCAGUGGGGAAUUUUGGACAAUGGGCGAAAGCCUGAUCCAGCAAUGCCGCGUGAGUGAAGAAGGCCUUCGGGUUGUAAAGCUCUUUUGUCAGGGAAGAAACGGUGAAAGCUAAUAUCUUUUGCUAAUGACGGUACCUGAAGAAUAAGCACCGGCUAACUACGUGCCAGCAGCCGCGGUAAUACGUAGGGUGCAAGCGUUAAUCGGAAUUACUGGGCGUAAAGCGUGCGCAGGCGGUUUUGUAAGUCUGAUGUGAAAUCCCCGGGCUCAACCUGGGAAUUGCAUUGGAGACUGCAAGGCUAGAAUCUGGCAGAGGGGGGUAGAAUUCCACGUGUAGCAGUGAAAUGCGUAGAUAUGUGGAGGAACACCGAUGGCGAAGGCAGCCCCCUGGGUCAAGAUUGACGCUCAUGCACGAAAGCGUGGGGAGCAAACAGGAUUAGAUACCCUGGUAGUCCACGCCCUAAACGAUGUCUACUAGUUGUCGGGUCUUAAUUGACUUGGUAACGCAGCUAACGCGUGAAGUAGACCGCCUGGGGAGUACGGUCGCAAGAUUAAAACUCAAAGGAAUUGACGGGGACCCGCACAAGCGGUGGAUGAUGUGGAUUAAUUCGAUGCAACGCGAAAAACCUUACCUACCCUUGACAUGGCUGGAAUCCUUGAGAGAUCAGGGAGUGCUCGAAAGAGAACCAGUACACAGGUGCUGCAUGGCUGUCGUCAGCUCGUGUCGUGAGACGUUGGGUUAAGUCCCGCAACGAGCGCAACCCUUGUCAUUAGUUGCUACGAAAGGGCACUCUAAUGAGACUGCCGGUGACAAACCGGAGGAAGGUGGGGAUGACGUCAAGUCCUCAUGGCCCUUAUGGGUAGGGCUUCACACGUCAUACAAUGGUACAUACAGAGCGCCGCCAACCCGCGAGGGGGAGCUAAUCGCAGAAAGUGUAUCGUAGUCCGGAUUGUAGUCUGCAACUCGACUGCAUGAAGUUGGAAUCGCUAGUAAUCGCGGAUCAGCAUGUCGCGGUGAAUACGUUCCCGGGUCUUGUACACACCGCCCGUCACACCAUGGGAGCGGGUUUUACCAGAAGUAGGUAGCUUAACCGCAAGGAGGGCGCUUACCACGGUAGGAUUCGUGACUGGGGUGAAGUCGUAACAAGGUAACCAAUC
rnacentral:rRNA from 1 species